CGCCAGACUCCUACGGGAGGCAGCAGUGGGGAAUAUUGCACAAUGGGGGGAACCCUGAUGCAGCGAUGCCGCGUGGAGGAAGAAGGUUUUCGGAUUGUAAACUCCUUUUAUCAGGGACGAUAAUGACGGUACCUGAAGAAAAAGCUCCGGCUAACUACGUGCCAGCAGCCGCGGUAAUACGUAGGGAGCGAGCGUUGUCCGGAAUUACUGGGUGUAAAGGGAGCGUAGGCGGGGGAACAAGUUGAAUGUUUAAGAUAUGGGCUCAACUCAUAUAAGCGUUCAAAACUGUUUUUCUUGAGUGAAGUAGAGGUAAGCGGAAUUCCUAGUGUAGCGGUGGAAUGCGUAAAUAUUAGGAGGAACACCAGUGGCGAAGGCGGCUUACUGGGCCUUAACUGACGCUGAGGCUCGAAAGCGUGGGUAGCAAACAGGAUUAGAUCCCC
rnacentral:rRNA from 1 species